rnacentral:lncRNA from 1 species
AUUAGAUGUCAUUUAACCCACAAGCCUUGAUUGUAUGAAAUGGCCAUUUGCAAAAGAAUAUAGUGCAAGAUGGAAGAAUGAAGUGACCACCUCUAGAUUCUAUUCUAACGGACGUGUGGCAUUUUCCCAGGCUAUUCGGGGAUAGGCAAGAAAGGGAAUCUAGAAUACCGAAGAGAGAACUCUGCAGAGCUGUGAGGACCAGAAGGAAGCCACAUUGUUUAUCCUGAAAGAAAAAGAAACAAGUGUGAAGAUUUCGAGAGCUGGAGGUGAAACAAGUAUCACUCAGCCUACAGAGAAUGCAAACCUCAUGAAUGUAUAUGUCUUGUUCAGCAGCACCUACACUUGUUUUUGACAAGUGAUACUAAAU